rnacentral:tRNA from 1 species
ACCUGGGUGGCUCAGUCGGUUGAGUGUCUGACUUUGACUCAGGUCGUGAUCUCACGGUUCGUGAGUUCGAGCCCCACAUCAGGCU